UCCUUUAAAAGUCCACAUGCUUUUUAGCACAUUGUUGUCCCCUUUUAGAGCAGCACUUUUCAACUUCCUGUCCUGGCAUCGAGUUGUUUAAAUCAAUGACCAUAGGAAUAGGAACAGCUCCAGUCUCCAACUCCCAGCGCGAGCCACACAGAAGACCGGUGAUUUCUGCAUUUUCAACUGAGUUCUAGGGUACAUGUGCAUAAGGACAGCAACUACCUAUGGUGAAUCAUCAAAGCACGAGACAAACUAAUUAGGUUCAACCAAUCUACAAAGGCCAAAAAUAUUUUCACAGGCCCCCAAAAGAUGAACUCCAAUCUGCUGCCCCUAAAUGCAUUCUCCACUGUCUGGAAGAUGUGCAAAGGCAACGGCACAGCGUUCUCCAUCUCAAAUCCUUCAAAGUGCUGUCAGAAUAAAAGAAUCCCCACCAAAAGCCCCAGGGAAAUCUAUCUGUCUGUAUGGUAUGGUAAUGACUGAGGUUAUUCCAGAUAGGAUUCUGGGAGAAACUCAGCUAUUGAAAUCUAAUGAAUGGAACUGAGAAUUUUUUGUUAUAACACUGUUUCUUUGAUUGAAUAUAUCCUUGCAUAUAAGACAUAAAAAUAAAUAACAAAAGCAAGAUAUUGUUUGAA